ACACACCGCCCGUCACACCAUGAGAGUCGAUAACACCCGAAGCCUGUAGUCUAACCGUAAGGGGGACGCAGUCGAAGGUGGGAUUGAUAAUUAGGGUGAAGUCGUAACAAGGUAAC
rnacentral:rRNA from 1 species